UAAUUUAAAUGUCCAAAUAUCACAGUUUGUUGUUUUUUUAUAGUGCACAAUAACAAAAGUUAAAGACUUAUGCUAGAAAACAUUUACGCAGGCAAAGAGUUAAAUGAGUAGGUCAAAAAGAAAAAAAUCAUAAUUAAAAAACUAAAAGGAAAUAUUACCAAAUCCAUCCUAUUUGUCACAUUAAUUGGUUAGUGCAAGGAGGCAGGCCAAUGAUAUCUGAAAAUGAUAUGGAAGUCUGGGAAACUGAUUUCAAGCAGAAGUAAAAGGAUAUGAUAAAGAUUAUCUUGUUGUUUAUGGGUUUGGGUUAUCUAGAAAUAAGGGCAGACUUCCAUAACAACAAUCAAAUGUACAGAUGAUAUAAUAUUAACAUUAAGUUUCUAUAGACUUAUGCAUACAUUAAAAAUCUCUCAUCAACAUGAAAAGUAAAUAAACAUGAAUAAGUUUGCUUUUGAAAGAACAAGAGUCAUUCAUACAAUUAAAAACUUACACAACUCUUUCUUAACUCUUUCAGUGACAAUUAUUUUGA